UGCAGGUUGAUUAGCAGCAGGAGUGGAAUGAAGAACCACAACCAGACAAAUACACACAGACAGACAGGGAGUACAAACAGGGGACCAACAGAAAACCCAAGGAACGGGAACACAGCAGAAGCAUAAGGAAUGAGGAGGGACCAUUUCAGAAAAAGGCUGAAUUCUUGCAAACUGUCAUGGAUGAGCUGUGAAGAACUGGCCUCGGUUUUGAGCUCAGAGUUAUCUCCUCUGAAACAACUGGAACUGAGUAACAACAACCUGCAGGAUUUAGGAGUGAAGGUGCUCUCUGGUGGACUGACGAGUCCACAAUGAAAACUAGAAUCCCUCAGAUGCCUGUGAACUCACACCGGACCUGAACACAGCACACAGAGACCUCGUUCUGGCUGAUGAAAACAGAAAAGUGACACGGGCCAGGGAGGAGCAGCCAUAUCCAGACCACCCUGAGAGAUUUGAUGGCUGCUUUCAGCUGCUGUGUAGAGAGGGCCAGAGUGGCCGCUGUUACUGGGAAGUAGAGUGGGACGGCAGGUCUGAGGUUGCGGUGACUUACAGAGGAAUCAGUAGGCACGGAGAAGCUGUUGACUGCUGUCUUGGGAGCUAUGAAAAGUCCUAAAGUCUAGAGUGCACUGAUGAUGGGUACGGUGCAUCGCACAAUAACACUCCCACAUGUAUAUAUUUACACCCCACUGACUCUACCAGAGUGGCAGUGUCUCUGGACUGGCCUGCUGGCACUCUGUCCUUCUACAGAGUCUCUUCUGACACUCUAGAUCUCCUCGACACCUUCUAUUCCAGAUUCACUGACCCCCCUCUGCCCCUGGGUUCAUCGUUGGGUUAGACUGCUCAAUGACUCUGUGUCAGAUGGAGGAGGGAGAGCAGCCGCCUGUUUGAAGGAACAGACGCUUACACGUUUGACUAAAGACAGCUGCUUAAAGG